GCAGAGGCAGGCCUCUAAGCCAUGUUAGGUUCAUGAGCUUCUCAUAUUAGAGUCUUUGAACCAUCCGCAUUCUCGAGCAGGCUUUUUAUAUUGGUACAAGAUGUUACAGAUCAACGAUGGAGCUUGGACCAAUGAAGAUGUAUGAAAAGCUAUCGAUGUGCGGGAUUGUUGGACGUAAAUAUUCGACGGGAGGAGACGCCAUUUACAGUAACUCGUGCUGUGGCUGUAACAAAUCACUAUAAAAAUGCUGAUGGUCCUCCUCUGUGUAUUCAUAUCUAACUUCGACCAGACUGGUAGAGCUGCACAUGGAGCCAUACCAACCGAGGACGACAUUGCAAGACUCCUGGAUUCGACUAUAGAUCCGUGCGCCGAUUUCUACGGAUAUGUGUGCGGCAGCUCUCGGCGAAAUACGUCAAAAUUAGAGUUCUUCCAUCUACCGGGAUCACUUCAAGCCCGCUGGUUGAACGUUAAGGACGAUAUCUCAAGUAUACUGGAAAUUCCUGAGAAAGCUGGCUCUAAAGCAUCAGAGAAACCAAUUAUAGCCUACCAGUCUUGUAUGAAAGAAGACAGUGCACACGAUAUGGAUAGUUUGAAGGAAUUGCUGACUGAUCGCGGGAUGUCUGACUGGCCAUCCAGAAGCAGCAAUACUGAAGAGAUUUACGACGCAAGGAACGAUAUAGAUUUGACUGAACUAGAGGCCUUCUUCCACUACGACGUUGUUCAAGACAAGCACGACAAAUCGAGGCAUAUGCUUUCGGUAGGCAGGGCUUCUCUACCUGUUUUACACGGAGGGGUGCUGGCAAGUACUGAUGACCUAACAGAAUGGUCUGAUUCACUUGUGCGAGAGCAAGCUAAGUCACACACAGGAGGAAAGCAAGCGGAAACUAGAAACGUACACGUUAGCAGCGGAAGCACGGCCGCAAAUGACACUGAAGACGACGCAACAGAUCAAGACUUCACAUGGGCUGAAACCCGCAUUGUCCAAGCAUAUCAAUCGUACGUGAAAGCAGUGAUCAGCACCAUGAAGAGCUUGGCCAGCGUCGAAUCGUUGGAAAUAGCGAAGGAAAUUAUUCGCUUUGAAACGAAAUUGGCCAGGCUUACAGAAGCUGGAGCAGGUGCCCAACGAAAGACUGCAAUCUACACAACAUUAAGGCGACUGAACAACAAGUACCUAUCGGUGUCUUUCUCCGCGAACUUACUAAAAAGGAAUUUAAGAAAAAAAGGAAUAAGAAUCGAGGACGACACCAAGAUAUACAUCGCUGAACCCGCAUACGUUGAAAAUGUAUUCACGCUGCUACGCAAAACAAGAAGGUACAAAGUGAAGAAUUACGUUGGCUGGAAAAUUAUAGCAACUAUAGCGCCCUUCGUGAGCCCGUUAAGGCCUCAUCAUCAAAAAUUUAUGGCGCAGUACGGAUUCCAGGAAAAGAGGAAGGAAGAUAUCUGCACGGAAAGCGUAGCCGCUAAAGGAAGCGCCUUGCAACCUCUAAUCAGCCAGCUUUACGUUGAAAGGAAAUUUUCGCCGGAGGCCAAGAAUGACGUUCAACUGAUGACACAGCUGAUUCAACGAGAAUUAGUAGCCGAGCUGAGGAAUUCAAGAUGGACAAGCCACGAAGCCCGAAGAACAGCCUUAAAAGCAGUAACAGAGAUGGACAAAGUGAUUGGCUACCCGGACUGGAUGGACGACAAGGCGCAUUUGGCAGGACUCUUCAGCAACGUGCGCAACUUCACCACGCAAUCGUCAUUUGUACGGAUCUAUGAGGAGUACAGGAUGGCAGCAUUUGAGAACUCAAUGAAAAAGCUCUCCUCACCUUUUUCUGCGAGCGAUGAAUGGAGCGGUGCGCCGAUGGAUGUCACAUUUGGAUAUGACGCAUCAUCUAAUUUGAUAUAUAUGCCUGUGGGUGUCCUACAACCACCGUUGUAUUCACCGCAUUAUCCAAGGGCAGUCAACUACGGCACUGUUGGCGUUAUGAUUGCCCGUGAGAUGGCACAAGCUUUCAACGCCCCAGUCAGUCAGCGACAAGAAGAUAUGUCCCAAAAUAACGCUUGAUGACUAUUACGAACGUAAGACCUCUUGUCCAAGUGUGCGCCGGGAUGACGAGGAGUCAUUGCCAGCGGAAUACGAAGAUUUCAGGGAAGAGAUCCUCGACGAAAUCGCCUUAAGGGUAUCAUGGAA
rnacentral:misc_RNA from 1 species